rnacentral:rRNA from 1 species
UAAAUCUGGCCUCUUUCGGGGUCCGAGUUGUAAUUUGUAGAGGGUGUUUCGGGUGAGGCGCCGGCCUAAGUUCCUUGGAACAGGGCGUCAUAGAGGGUGAGAAUCCCGUAUGCGGCCGGUGACCGACCCCGUGUGAAACCCCUUCGACGAGUCGGGUUGUUUGGGAAUGCAGCUCUAAAUGGGUGGUAAAUUUCAUCUAAAGCUAAAUACCGGCCAGAGACCGAUAGCGCACAAGUAGAGUGAUCGAAAGAUGAAAAGCACUUUGGAAAGAGAGUUAAAAAGUACGUGAAAUUGUUGAAAGGGAAGCGCUUGCAACCAGACCUGUGUCCGGGUGAUCAGCCGCCGUUCUCGGCGGUGUACUCGUCCGGUACAGGCCAGCAUCGGUUCGGGCGGUCGGAUAAAGGCCUUGGGAACGUAGCUCCCUUCGGGGAGUGUUAUAGCCCUCGGUGCAAUGCGGCCAGCCUGGACCGAGGACCGCGCUUCGGCUAGGAUGCUGGCGUAAUGGUUGUAAGCGGCCCGUCUUGAAACACGGACCAAGGAGUCUAACAUCUAUGCGAGUGUUUGGGUGUCAAACCCAUGCGCGGAAUGAAAGUGAACGGAGGUGAGAACCCUUAAGGGCGCAUCA